rnacentral:rRNA from 1 species
UGGGGAAUUGUUCGCAAUGGGCGCAAGCCUGACGACGCAACGCCGCGUGGAGGAUGAAGGUCUUCGGAUUGUAAACUCCUGUUGCUCGGGACGAAUGGCUCCAACCUAACACGUUGGAGUGUGACGGUACCGAGUGAGGAAGCCCCGGCUAACUCUGUGCCAGCAGCCGCGGUAAUACAGAGGGGGCUAGCGUUGUUCGGAAUUACUGGGCGUAAAGGGCGCGUAGGCGGCCUUCUAAGUCGAACGUGAAAUCCCCGGGCUCAACCCGGGAACUGCGUCCGAUACUGGAGGGCUCGAAUCCGGGAGAGGGAUGUGGAAUUCCAGGUGUAGCGGUGAAAUGCGUAGAUAUCUGGAGGAACACCGGUGGCGAAGGCGGCAUCCUGGACCGGUAUUGACGCUGAGGCGCGAAAGCCAGGGGAGCAAACGGGAUUAGAUACCCCGGUAGUCCUGGCCCUAAACGAUGAAUGCUUGGUGUGGCGGGUAUCGAUCCCUGCCGUGCCGAAGUUAACGCAUUAAG